GUCCUCACUUCGGGAGCACAUAUACUAAAAUUAGAACUUUACAGAGAUUAGCAUGGCCCCUGCACAAGGAUGACACACAAACUCAAAAAACGUUCCUUAUUAAA
rnacentral:snRNA from 1 species